rnacentral:misc_RNA from 1 species
GAAAUGCGAUAAGUAAUGUGAAUUGCAGAAUUCCGUGAAUCAUCGAAUCUUUGAACGCACAUUGCGCCCUCUGGCAUUCCGGGGGGCAUGCCUGUCCGAGCGUCAUUACGCACCCUCAAGCCCGGCUUGUGUGAUGGGCCCUGGCGUCUCGUUCGCGAGACGGGCCCGAAAGGCAGCGGCGGCGUCGACCCGAUGAGCCCGAGCGUAUGGGGACUUCUGUCACACGUUCGCGGUGCGGACCGGCGCCUGCUUUGACGUUUCUGAUUAUCCAGGUUGACCUCGGAUCAGGUAGGGAUACCCGCUGAACUUAAGC